rnacentral:rRNA from 1 species
ACGAACGCUGGCGGCAGGCCUAAAACAUGCAAGUUGAACGCUCUAGCAAUAGAGAGUAGCGCACGGGUGCGUAACACGUGGGAAUAUGCCUUUUGGUACGGAACAACGUUUGGAAACGAACGCUAAUACCGUAUGGUCCCUUCGGGGUAAAGAUUUAUCGCCAAAAGAGUAGCCCGCGUCUGAUUAGCUAGUUGGUGAGGUAAUGGCUCACCAAGGCGACGAUCAGUAGCUGGUCUGAGAGGACGAUCAGCCACACUGGGACUGAGACACGGCCCAGACUCCUACGGGAGGCAGCAGUUAGGAAUCUUGGACAAUGGACGCAAGUCUGAUCCAGCCAUGCCGCGUGAGUGAUGAAGGCCUUCGGGUUGUAAAGCUCUUUAGCCGAUGAAUAUAAUGACUGUAGUCGGAGAAUAAGCCCCGGCUAACUUCGU